rnacentral:lncRNA from 1 species
CUCACAUUUAUACUUUGUGGCUUUGUACCCUGGGAAGUCUUGAGGAAGCCUUUGGUGACCGAAGCUGUACAGAUAUGAAGGGAUGGUCUCCAGCCAGAGGACUUCAGUCAUCUGCAUCCAUUAAAAUGUGUGUCCUGAUUGCGCUUCAUAACAAAUAUUCUCAGAAUGCCAGAGGCUAAAUGGAACUGUGCCAAGUGCUCCAUUACACCUGUGCAGCUGGCUAAGCUGCAGAACUGCUCAGGAAGAAGAGUCCAGGAAGCAGGCUCAAAAAGACUGAUCAGAGAGG